rnacentral:rRNA from 1 species
UACGUAGGGGGCAAGCGUUGUCCGGAUUCAUUGGGCGUAAAGAGCGUGUAGGCGGCCAGGUAGGUCGGUUGUGAAAACUGGAGGCUCAACCUUCAGAGGUCGACCGAAACAAUCUGGCUAGAGUCCGGGAGAGGAGAGUGGAAUUCCUGGUGUAGCGGUGAAAUGCGCAGAUAUCAGGAAGAACACCCGUGGCGAAAGCGGCUCUCUGGAACGGUACUGACGCUGAGACGCGAAAGCGUGGGGAGCGAACAGG